rnacentral:miRNA from 1 species
CACGAAACGUUCGUUCGCCACUACAGGCCACAGCAACCUAACUAAAUACAUUAUAUUUAUUGUAUAUUUGUGAUUUAUGAUAAAAGCAAUAAAUAUUUGCGUAUCAAUUAUAAAAAUACAAAAAAAUAAUACAUUUAGUUAGGUUGCUGUGGCCUGUGGUGGCGAACAAACGUUUCGUG